rnacentral:rRNA from 1 species
GAUGAACGCUGGCGGCGUGCCUAAUACAUGCAAGUCGAGCGAACGGACGAGAAGCUUGCUUCUCUGAUGUUAGCGGCGGACGGGUGAGUAACACGUGGAUAACCUACCUAUAAGACUGGGAUAACUUCGGGAAACCGUAGCUAAUACCGGAUAAUAUUUUGAACCGCAUGGUUCAAAAGUGAAAGACGGUCUUGCUGUCACUUAUAGAUGUAUCCGCGCUGCAUUAGCUAGUUGGUAAGGUAACGGCUUACCAAGGCAACGAUGCAUAGCCGACCUGAGAGGGUGAUCGGCCACACUGGAACUGAGACACGGUCCAGACUCCUACGGGAGGCAGCAGUAGGGAAUCUUCCGCAAUGGGCGAAAGCCUGACGGAGCAACGCCGCGUGAGUGAUGAAGGUCUUCGGAUCGUAAAACUCUGUUAUUAGGGAAGAACAUAUGUGUAAGUAACUGUGCACAUCUUGACGGUACCUAAUCAGAAAGCCACGGCUAACUACGUG